rnacentral:rRNA from 1 species
AGAGUUUGAUCCUGGCUCAGGAUGAACGCUGGCGGCAUGCCUAAUACAUGCAAGUCGAACGAGAGGAAGGAAAGCUUGCUUUUCUGAAUCUAGUGGCGAACGGGUGAGUAACACGUAGGUAACCUGCCCAUGUGCCCGGGAUAACUUCUGGAAACGGAUGCUAAAACCGGAUAGGUAGCAGACAAGCAUUUGACUGCUAUUAAAGUGGCUAAGGCCAUGAACAUGGAUGGACCUGCGGUGCAUUAGCUAGUUGGUGAGGUAACGGCCCACCAAGGCGACGAUGCAUAGCCGGCCUGAGAGGGCGGACGGCCACAUUGGGACUGAGACACGGCCCAAACUCCUACGGGAGGCAGCAGUAGGGAAUUUUCGUCAAUGGGGGGAACCCUGAACGAGCAAUGCCGCGUGAGUGAAGAAGGUCUUCGGAUCGUAAAGCUCUGUUGUAAGAGAAAAACGACAUUCAUAGGGAAUGAUGAGUGAGUGAUGGUAUCUUACCAGAAAGUCACGGCUAACUACGUGCCAGCAGCCGCGGUAAUACGUAGGUGGCGAGCGUUAUCCGGAAUGAUUGGGCGUAAAGGGUGCGUAGGUGGCAGAACAAGUCUGGAGUAAAAGGUAUGGGCUCAACCCGUACUGGCUCUGGAAACUGUUCAGCUAGAGAACAGAAGAGGACGGCGGAACUCCAUGUGUAGCGGUAAAAUGCGUAGAUAUAUGGAAGAACACCGGUGGCGAAGGCGGCCGUCUGGUCUGUUGCUGACACUGAAGCACGAAAGCGUGGGGAGCAAAUAGGAUUAGAUACCCUAGUAGUCCACGCCGUAAACGAUGAGAACUAGGUGUUGGGGGAAUAACUCAGUGCCGCAGUUAACGCAAUAAGUUCUCCGCCUGGGGAGUAUGCACGCAAGUGUGAAACUCAAAGGAAUUGACGGGGGCCCGCACAAGCGGUGGAGUAUGUGGUUUAAUUCGAAGCAACGCGAAGAACCUUACCAGGCCUUGACAUCCCUUGCAGAGGUAUAGAGAUAUAUCCGAGGUUAUCAAGGAGACAGGUGGUGCAUGGUUGUCGUCAGCUCGUGUCGUGAGAUGUUGGGUU